GUAUCUGGGACACAAUGGUCCUUGGGGAGCACAUGGCAGAAUAAUAACAAUACUUGCUCUAGAGCAUUGUUGCUAAUACCAAACAUGCACUUAAUCUGAUAUAGCCUCACAAUAAAAGAUAUUUGGGUAGCCUCCUCGCAACCUGGGUACAGUUCUUUCCUAGCUUCUUCCAUUAACUUGAAAAUUUUUCUUGCUGACUCAUUUGGCUCUUGAUCACCUCUAAUUUCACCAUGUAUGGCACCACUAAUUAGUGAUGAAAGCAGUUUAGUGGAUGAGACGCCAUCAUCAUGAUCACCUUCUUCACCUUCACAAACAUCCCGAUCAUCAUCGUUCAUAACAAC
rnacentral:lncRNA from 1 species